CGGCUUAUUUUUGGCACCCCGAGGCCCCUCGCAAAGUCUCGCCCCAUUCCGAGUGCGGCGGACGAACUUCGCCCGCGCCCCCCACCAAGGCUAUAGCCCACCCGUUUUUUGGCCAUUUUUCCGCUGGGGGAUUUUGGCACCACGACCUUCGGGCGCUUAUUUCUGGGCGCGGCUUUGCCCGCGGCUUAUUUUUGGCACCCCGAGGGCCCUCGCAAAGUCUCGCCGCAUUCCGAGUCCGGGGGACGAACGUCGCCCGCGCCCCCCACCAAGGCUAUAGCCCACCCGUUUUUUGGCCAUUUUUCCGCUAGGGGGUUUUGGCACCACGACCUUCGGGCGCUUAUGUUUGGGCACGGCUUUGCCCGCGGCUUAUUUUUGGCACCCCGAGGCCCCUCGCAAAGUCUCACCCCAUUCCGAGUCCGGCGGACGAACUUCGCCCGCGCCCCCCACCAAGGCUAUAGCCCACCCGUUUUUUGGCCAUUUUUCCGCUGGGGGGUUUUGGAACCACGACCUUCGGGCGCUUAUUUUUGGGCGCGACUUUGCCCGCGGCUUAUUUUUGGCACCCCGAGGCCCCUCGCAAAGUCUCGCCCCAUUCCGAGUCCGGCGGACGAACUUCGCCCGCGCCCCCCACCAAGGCUAUAGCCCACCCGUUUUUUGGCCAUUUUUCCGCUGGGGGGUUUUGGCACCACGACCUUCGGGCGCUUAUUUUUGGGCGCGGCUUCGCCCGCGGCUUUUUUUUGGCACCCCGAGGCCCCUCGCAAAGUCUCGCCGCAUUUCGAGUCCGGCGGACGAACGUCGCCCGCGCCCCCCACCAAGGCUAUAGCCCACCCGUUUUUUGGCCAUUUUUCCGCUUGGGGUUUUGGCACCACGAACUUCCGGCGCUUAUGUUUGGGCGCGGCUUUGCCCGCCGCUUAAUUUUGGCACCCCGAGGCCCCUCGCAAAGUCUCGCCGCAUUCCGAGUCCGGCGGACGAACUUCGCCCGCGCCCCCCACCAAGGCUAUAGCCCACCCGUUUUUUGGCCAUUUUUCCGCUGGGGGGUUUUGGCACCACGACCUUCGGGCGCUUAUUUUUGGGCGCGGCUUUGCCCGCGGCUUAUUUUUGGCACCCCGAGGCCCCUCGCAAAGUCUCGCCGCAUUCCGAGUCCGGCGGACGAACUUCGCCCGCGCCCCCCACCAAGGCUAUAGCCCACCCGUUUUUUGGCCAUUUUUCCGCUGGGGGGUUUUGGCACCACGACCUUCGGGCGCUUAUUUUUGGGCGCGGCUUUGCCCGCGGCUUAUUUUUGGCACCCCGAGGCCCCUCGCAAAGUCUCGCCGCAUUCCGAGUCCGGCGGACGAACUUCCCCCGCGCCCCCCACCAAGGCUAUAGCCCACCCGUUUUUUGGCCAUUUUUCCGCUGGGGGGUUUUGGCACCACGACCUUCGGGCGCUUAUUUCUGGGCGCGGCUUUGCCCGCGGCUUAUUUUUGGCACCCCGAGGCCCCUCGCAAAGUCUCGCCGCAUUCCGAGUCCGGCGGACGAACUUCGCCCGCGCCCCCCACCAAGGCUAUAGCCCACCCGUUUUUUGGCCAUUUUUCCGCUGGGGGGUUUUGGCACCACGACCUUCGGGCGCUUAUUUUUGGGCGCGGCUUUGCCCGCGGCUUAUUUUUGGCACCCCGAGGCCCCUCGCAAAGUCUCGCCGCAUUCCGAGUCCGGCGGACGAAGUUCGCCCGCGCCCCCCACCAAGGCUAUAGCCCACCCGUUUUUUGGCCAUUUUUCCGCUGGGGGGUUUUGGCACCACGACCUUCGGGCGCUUAUUUUUGGGCGCGGCUUUGCCCGCGGCUUAUUUUUGGCACCCCGAGGCCCCUCGCAAAGUCUCACCCCAUUCCGAGUCCGGCGGACGAACUUCGCCCGCGCCCCCCACCAAGGCUAUAGCCCACCCGUUUUUUGGCCAUUUUUCCGCUGGGGGGUUUUGGAACCACCACCUUCGGGCGCUUAUUUCUGGGCGCGGCUGUGCCCGCGGCUUAUUUUUGGCACCCCGAGGCCCCUCGCAAAGUCUCGCCGCAUUCCGAGUCCGGCGGACGAACGUCGCCGGCGCCCCCCACCAAGGCUAUAGCCCACCCGUUUUUUGGCCAUUUUUCCGCUAGGGGGUUUUGGCACCACGACCUUCGGGCGCUUAUGUUUGGGCGCGGCUUUGCCCGCGGCUUAUUUUUGGCACCCCGAGGCCCCUCGCAAAGUCUCGCCCCAUUCCGAGUCCGGCGGACGAACUUCGCCCGCGCCCCCCACCAAGGCUAUAGCCCACCCGUUUUUUGGCCAUUUUUCCGCUGGGGGGUUUUGGAACCACGACCUUCGGGCGCUUAUUUUUGGGCGCGGCUUUGCCCGCGGCUUAUUUUUGGCACCCCGAGGCCCCUCGCAAAGUCUCGCCCCAUUCCGAGUCCGGCGGACGAACUUCGCCCGCGCCCCCCACCAAGGCUAUAGCCCACCCGUUUUUUGGCCAUUUUUCCGCUGGGGGGUUUUGGCACCACGACCUUCGGGCGCUUAUUUUUGGGCGCGGCUUCGCCCGCGGCUUAUUUUUGGCACCCCGAGGCCCCUCGCAAAGUCUCGCCGCAUUUCGAGUCCGGCGGACGAACGUCGCCCGCGCCCCCCACCAAAGCUAUAGCCCACCCGUUUUUUGGCCAUUUUUCCGCUUGGGGUUUUCGCACCACGACCUUCGGGCGCUUAUUUUUGGGGGGGCUUUGCCCGGGGUUUAUUUUUGCACCCCGAAGGCCCUCGCAAAGUCUCGCCGCUUUCGAGUUCCGGCGGACGAAAUUCGCCCGCGGCCCCCACCAAGGCUAUAGCCCACCCAUUUUUUGGCCAUUUUUCCGCUGGGGGGUUUUGGCACCACGACCUUCGGGCGCGGCUUUGCCCGCGGCUUAUUUUUGGCACCCCGAGGCCCCUCGUAAAGUCUCGCCGCAUUCCGAGUCCGGCGGACGAACGUCGCCCGCGCCCCCCACCAAGGCUAUAGCCCACCCGUUUUUUGGCCAUUUUUCCGCUGGGGGGUUUUGGCACCACGACCUUCGGGCGCGGCUUUGCCCGCGGCUUAUUUUUGGCACCCCGAGGCCCCUCGUAAAGUCUCGCCGCAUUCCGAGUCCGGCGGACGAACGUCGCCCGCGCCCCCCACCAAGGCUAUAGCCCACCCGUUUUUUGGCCAUUUUUCCGCUGGGGGGUUUUGGCACCACGACCUUCGGGCGCUUAUUUUUGGGCGCGGCUUUGCCCGCGGCUUAUUUUUGGCACCCCGAGGCCCCUCGCAAAGUCUCGCCGCAUUCCGAGUCCGGCGGACGAACGUCGCCCGCGCCCCCCACCAAGGCUAUAGCCCACCCGUUUUUUGGCCAUUUUUCCGCUGGGGGGUUUUGGCACCACGACCUUCGGGCGCUUGGUGGGGGGACUUUGCCAUUUUUCUCGCCCCAUUUUUUGGCUUUGCCCGCGGCUUAUUUUUGGCACCCCGAGGCCCCUCGCAAAGUCUCUCCGCAUUCCGAGUCCGGCGGACGAACGUCGCCCGCGCCCCCCACCAAGGCUAUAGCCCACCCGUUUUUUGGCCAUUUUUCCGCUGGGGGGUUUUGGCACCACGACCUUCGGGCGCUUAUGUUUGGGCGCGGCUUUGCCCACGGCUUAUUUUUGGCACCCCGAGGCCCCUCGCAAAGUCUCGCCCCAUUCCGAGUCCGGCGGACGAACUUCGCCCGCGCCCCCCACCAAGGCUAUAGCCCACCCGUUUUUUGGCCAUUUUUCCGCUGGGGGGUUUUGGCACCACGACCUACGGGCGCGGCUUUGCCCGCGGCUUAUUUUUGGCACCCCGAGGCCCCUCGCAAAGUCUCGCCGCAUUCCGAGUCCGGCGGACGAACUUCGCCCGCGCCCCCCACCAAGGCUAUAGCCCACCCGUUUUUUGGCCAUUUUUCCGCUGGGGGGUUUUGGCACCACGACCUUCGGGCGCUUAUUUCUGGGCGCGGCUUUGCCCGCGGCUUAUUUUUGGCACCCCGAGGCCCCUCGCAAAGUCUCGCCGCAUUCCGAGUCCGGCGGACGAACUUCGCCCGCGCCCCCCACCAAGGCUAUAGCCCACCCGUUUUUUGGCCAUUUUUCCGCUAGGGGGUUUUGGCACCACGACCUUCGGGCGCUUAUUUUUGGGCGCGGCUUUGCCCGCUGCUUAUUUUUGGCACCCCGAGGCCCCUCGCAAAGUCUCGCCGCAUUCCGAGUCCGGCGGACGAACGUCGCCCGCGCCCCCCACCAAGGCUAUAGCCCACCCGUUUUUUGGCCAUUUUUCCGCUGGGGGGUUUUGGCACCACGACCUUCGGGCGCUUAUUUUUGGGCUCGGCUUUGCCCGCGGCUUAUUUUUGGCACCCCGAGGCCCCUCGCAAAGUCUCGCCGCAUUCCGAGUCCGGCGGACGAACUUCGCCCGCGCCCCCCACCAAGGCUAUAGCCCACCCGUUUUUUGGCCAUUUUUCCGCUGGGGGGUUUUGGCACCACGACCUUCGGGCGCUUAUUUUUGGGCGCGGCUUUGCCCGCGGCUUAUUUUGGCACCCCGAGGCCCCUCGCAAAGUCUCGCC
rnacentral:lncRNA from 1 species